AGUUGUGACUCAUCAGAGAAUGGACAUGGGCCUUCUGAGGGUGUCCUGCAGUGUCUUGCAACAGGAUGUUAUAUAUCAUAGAAGAAAGUCUAGAGCUGGAUGGAUACUAGGGGAGUGGAAGAGGUUUCCAAGAAGAGCCACAGGAUCCCACUGAUGAUGAAGGAGCAACUACUCCCACUCUGGACAUUAACUCCAGGACCUGAAUGCAGCACAAACCCCAACGACAAGAGUCCCAGGAUCCCAGAGGAGAAGCUAUUGUGACAGACAAUACAAGCAAGGAAUGCAGAGGGUGACCUAGCACAGAGAAAACCAAGGAGGUAAGUGUUAGGUACAUGGAGAGGAGGACCAUUUGGAGGACACCACAAACCACAAACCACAAAUCCACCUUCAACCCACCCCUGUGAGGAAAACACACCAAUGGCCUGGAGCAGCUGGUACCCACCUGUAACAAAAAACUAUUUUAAUGCUACAACAUUUAUUAUUUUCAUUGUUGUUAUUAUUUAGAAGGCAAAUCCUGAAAUUAGAAUGUGCUUUGAGGCUUUGCUGAGGGAGCAGAGGUACAGAAACCAGCUGAAGACCAUCUCUGCAUCUCUGUCUUCUUCAGGCAAACAAAGGCUGCUAAACCACUCUCUGGAUCAUGUCUUCUUUUACGCCCUCAUCCCAUCCGUAACACCG